rnacentral:lncRNA from 1 species
CACAUUCAACGAUUUUUGUAAAUUACAGAGUAUUUAACUGUAAUAUGAAUUGUGUUUUACUGUAGGACAACAUUGGGAGAAAAAAUAAAGAGGGGGCUAAUAAUUCUGAUUUCAACUGUAUAGCGCUGUAAAGUGAUUGUUAUGUAAUGUUACAACUGUAACUUAAAUGUCCCGUGCAGUGUUGCCAACUAUUUUCAAUGAAAAGUUGCUAAGCUCUGCUCGAAAAGUCGCUAAAUGAUGCUAAAUUAUUUAUCUCUCAGACAUAAUAAACUCAGACAAGUUCUGAAACUGACACUAAAAUCUCUGUGAUUCUGAACAAGAAAACAAUAAAUGGCCAGAUUAAAUUGUUAAA